CCUACGGGAGGCAGCAGUGAGGAAUAUUGGUCAAUGGUCGGGAGACUGAACCAGCCAAGCCGCGUGAGGGAGGAAGGUACAGAGUAUCGUAAACCUCUUUUGUCAGGGAACAAAGACUGGGACGCGUCCCCGGAUGAGUGUACCUGAAGAAAAAGCAUCGGCUAACUCCGUGCCAGCAGCCGCGGUAAUACGGAGGAUGCGAGCGUUAUCCGGAUUUAUUGGGUUUAAAGGGUGCGCAGGCGGUCUGUUAAGUCAGCGGUCAAAGCCCGGGGCUCAACCCCGGCCCGCCGUUGAAACUGGCAGUCUCGAGUUGGAGAGAAGUAUGCGGAAUGCGCGGUGUAGCGGUGAAAGGCAUAGAUAUCGCGCAGAACUCCGAUUGCGAAGGCAGCAUGCCGGCUCCACACUGACGCUGAGGCACGAAAGCGUGGGUAUCGAACAGGAUUAGAUACCCUAGUAGUC
rnacentral:rRNA from 1 species